ensembl:rRNA 5S_rRNA 5S ribosomal RNA
AUCUCUGGUUUUUGAUCUUGUCUCAACACAGAAGCUAAGCAGGGGGCAUCCUGGGCAGUACUUGGAUGAGAAAUCACUAUGGAAAACCUACAUGCUAUAGAGA